ensembl:snoRNA
CUGUAAUGAUGUUGGUCAAAUAUCUGACCUGAAAUGAUUAUAUAGAGAAAUUUAACACUGAAGAA